UCAGAGCGCCGUUGGACUUGAGCAUGUUCACCUCCUCCUCUAGCUCCCUCAAGCCACGCUCCAGAGAGCUGAUCUUUGCGUCCUGCGGGACAUCGACACAUUCAUGUCAAGCCCUUCCCUGUCAAUCUGCAGCAGAGGGAUAGUAUGAAUACUGAAGCAAAACCACUCCAACUCUGGAAAACACCCAUUCAGUGUCACAGAUUUGAAGGUUGAAGUCGGACAGAGGACUGUAGGUUUUGGCACUGGUUACUCACAAUGGAAGCAUUUAGUGGAGGACUCUGUUAAACGACAUGGACAGCAAGUAAAACCUGUUUUAGUCUUCAUAUACAGUAAGAACGGACCGUAGCAGAGUGUCCACUAGAGAGCGACAUUUGGGCUUGGUUGUGAAAUGCAUUGAUUUAUUUUAUAUAUUAUAUAUAUUUUAUUUUUUUAAAUGUAAUUUGUAAAAAAAGCACUAAUCACUAUUGCUAUAAAUUCAAUAUGUAGGUGAAAAUAAUAAAAAAAGUUAACUGUU